rnacentral:lncRNA from 1 species
CACCUGCCACCACACCCGGCUAAUUUUUUGUAUUAUUUUUAGUAGAGACGGGGUUUCACCAUGUUAGCCAGGACAGUUUCGAUCUCCUGACCUCGUGAUCUGCCCACCUCGGCCUCCCAAAGUACUGGGAUUACAGGCGUGGGCCACCUCGCCUGGCCUAUCUUAAGAAACUAUCAUUCAUGUGUACAAGGAAGCAUAUAUAAAAAAAAAUGCUUGAAGCUUUGUUUGUAAUAAUGAAAAUCAGAACAACCUACAUGCCCAUCGAUUUAGGAGUGGCCAAAUAAACUGUGGCAGAUCCAACCUAUAAAUUACUAAAGAAUUGUGAUAAGGAAUAAUGUUGCUUUAUGCCUGUCAACAGCGUGAGCAAGGCAGGGUUCUAAGUUCUUACCUAAAUUUACUCAUCUAAUCCUCACAAGACCCUGUGGCUAUAGGUAUACCACAAUCCCAAUUUAUAAAGCAGAGAAACUGCGGCUGGAGGGUUUAAAUAAUUUGUAUCAUGCAACUAGCAAGUGACAAAGCUAUGAUCUGAGUCCAGGCAGUGUGGCCCCAGGCUCCAUCCUCUUACCCUUCAUGCUAAUUUAUUGCUGAGUGGGGAAAAAAGCAAGCAGCAGAAAGACACACAAAAUAUAUAAUACUAUUCAGGUAAAAUAUACACACAACACAGUACCAUGUUGUUUCUAAAUAUGUACAUAAAGGUGAGAAAAUGAUCUAUUUUAACAAUCAAACCAAUUUACAACAUUGGUUGCCCAUGUGAAGGUGCUAAAGGAACAAGGAUUGGCAGUGAUGACCAGGAAUAAUUUCAUCUUGACAUAUAACGUCUUAAAUUUUAAAACAAAAUGUGUUCCAGUAUUAUAGAAUGACUUAAAAUUUAUAAAAUAAAAAUAGUCAGAAGGAAUCACCUACUUCAGGAUUAAAUGAGUUCCCUAACAUAAAAAGCAUUAGCUUAGAUUUCUACUCUUGAGGAACUCUUCAGGGAGGGAUUCAAGCAUCAGUGAGGGAUUGGACAGGAAAACCACCCCAGCUGGUUGGUUACCAGAGAAACUCAACAUGCUCCCAAUUAAACUCAGUAUCUUUUACCCUCAAACUUCUUAAUCCUCUGGUCUCUCCUAGUUCCAUAAGACAUUGCUUACAUUUACCCAGUGUAAUUAUAAUUCUGUAUAAGUUCUGUUUUUCUAACUCUAACUUCUUUAUUCACAUAAAAUAACUUUCACUAUUCUUCUGAAAGCCUUUAAUAAUGUGAAGAUGGCUAUUUAUCCCUGUCUUCUCUCCUCCUACUUCCACUUCUACCACCAUCACCGCCACCACCACCGCCUCUGCCACCUCCACUACCAUCAUUUCCACCACCACCAUCACCACCACCACCACCAUCAUCCUAGUUGUGGUGGUGCUGAUAAGAACUAGUGGUAAUGGUGAUGAUAGUGGCUGUAGCAGUGGUGGUGAUGAUGAGAAUGAAUCAAGGUAGCAAUGUGAUAGAUUGGUGCUGGUGAUGGUGGUGGUGAUGGUGGUGGUGGUGGUAAUGGUGGUGGUAAUGGUGGUGUAGGUGGUGGAGGUGGUGGUGGUGGUGGUGGUGAUGGUGGUAGAAGUGGUGGUGGUGAAGGUGGUGGAUGUUGGUGGUGGUGAUAAUUGUAGUGGAGGUGGUACAGGUGUUGGUGGUGGUGGUGAUGGUAGUAGAAGUGGUGGUGGUGAAGGUGGUGGAUGAUGGUGGUGGUGGUGAUAAUGGUGGUGGAGGUGGUAGAGGUGUUGGUGGUGGUGGUGAUGGUAGUAGAAGUGGUGGUGGUGAAGGUGGUGGAUGAUGGUGGUGGUGGUGAUAAUGGUGGUGGAGGUGGUAGAGGUGUUGGUGGUGGUGGUGAUGGUAGUAGAAGUGGUGGUGGUGAAGGUGGUGGAUGAUGGUGGUGGUGGUGAUAAUGGUGGUGGAGGUGGUAGAGGUGUUGGUGGUGGUGGUGAUGGUAGUAGAAGUGGUGGUGGUGAAGGUGGUGGAUGAUGGUGGUGGUGGUGAUAAUUGUAGUGGAGGUGGUAGAGGUGUUGGUGGUGGUGGUGAUGGUGGUAGAAGUGGUGGUGGUGAAGGUGGUGGAUGAUGGUGGUGGUGGUGAUAAUUGUAGUGGAGGUGGUAGAGGUGUUGGUGGUGGUGGUGAUGGUGGUAGAAGUGGUGGUGGUGAAGGUGGUGGAUGAUGGUGGUGGUGGUGAUAAUUGUAGUGGAGGUGGUAGAGGUGUUGGUGGUGGUGGUGAUGGUGGUAGAAGUGGUGGUGGUGAAGGUGGUGGAUGAUGGUGGUGGUGGUGAUAAUGGUGGUGGAGGUGGUAGAGGUGUUGGUGGUGGUGGUGAUGGUGGUAGAAGUGGUGGUGGUGAAGGUGGUAGAUGAUGGUGGUGGUGGUGAUAAUGGUGGUGGAGGUGGUAGAGGUGUUGGUGGUGGUGGUGAUGGUGGUAGAAAUGGAGGUGGUGGAGGUAGUGGUGAUGCAGGUAAUAGAGGUGGUAGUGGUGAUGAUGGAGGCAGUGGAGGUGAUGGCAGUGGUAGUGCUGGUAGUACAUGUUGGUGAAGGUGGUGAAAGGUGAGGAUAGUGGUGGUGGUGGGUGGUGGUGGGUGAUGGUGGUGGAGGUGGGUGAUGGUGGUGGUAGUGGAGGUGAUGGUGGUGGAGGUGGGGGUCGUGGUGGUGGAGGUUAUGAAGGUAGAGGUGGUGGUAGUGGUGGUGGUGGAGGUGGUGGGGUAGCUGUGGGUGAUAGUGGAAGUUAUGAUCAUGGUGAUGGGUGAUGGUGGUAGUGGUAGAGAUGGUGGCAGUGGUGGUGUUGGUGGUACCUGAUGGUGGUGGUGGUAGAGGUGAGGCUAGUGGUGGUGGAGGUGGGCGAUGGUGGUGGUAGUGAAGGUGAUGGUGGUGCAGGUGGUGGAGGUGGUGGUGAUGGUGGGUGAUAGUGGUGUUGGUGAAGGUGGUGGUGGGUGACGGUGGUAAAGGUGGUAGUAUUAAUGACAAUCAGAAUGAGUGCCAGUGCCAUGACAGUAGUCGUGGUGAUGGUGAUGAUGACACUGGUAGUGGUGAUGGUGGUGGAGGUCACAAAGGAAUAAGAAAACAAUCUAUUUUAAAGAAAAACAAACCACUGUGCCUACAACACAGCGCAGCACGUUGACAUGGCAGUGAUGACAAUGGUAGUGAUGGUGCAAAAGGUAGUGGAUGUGAUAGUGGUGGUAGCAAUGGAGAUGGGGGAGGUGGUGAAAGUGGCAGCGACGGUGGGAAUAAGUGAAGAUCAAAGUGGCAGUCCUUGUGAUUGUGAUGGCGAUGGCGAUACUGGUGAAGGUGAUGAAGUUGGUGCAGCUGGUGGAGGUGGUGGUGGUGAUGGUGGUAAGAGUGAGCAGAGGCAACAGUGUUAGUGGUGGGGAUGGUGGUGACGAUUACGGGGCAGAUGAUAACAAUAAAGUGUUAGGCAUUUGGCACAGAACUGAAAGUAAUGGCAAGAUAGACAUGGUGACCAUGGUGAUGAUGAAAACAGGUUGGUGAUGAUGAAAACAGAGGUGUUUAGUUCAAGCAGGUGAAAAGACAAAAGCAGCUCUAGAUCUAGGUCUGAUACCUGGAUACUGAGACCAAAGCUUCUUCCCCAUUUUUGCUGCCGCCAUUUGUCAGAAAAAGUGGAGAAAAGUUACAUGGAAAGUAGACUAAGAUGAGGACAGUAAAUAGAAUGUCACUACCCAAGCUAUGGGGCCUAUAGGACCUCAUGUGCUCCUUCCCAGCCACAGCAGCUUUUUCUAGAUCUCAGCCCUCCAUGUCUACUCCAUUUGGGGUUUGCCAUGAUGACAAUUUCCUGUGUGCAUCGGAAAGCAAGAAAAGUGGAAAGAGAGUAAGACAAGUGCACCAAGGCAGUAUCCUGGAGUCUCUCUUCGCCCACCCUGGAUAAGCCGUGGCCAGACCUGUCAGAGCUGGCCCUACUAAUUGCUACUUCCAUGUCGGGAGGUCACCAAGUGGGAGUGUGAGGCUGCAUUCCAGUGGUGGUAGAAGGCCCCACCAGCCACACCUGCCCAACACUCCCACAGACACUGAGCCUGCUGAAGUACACUUGGCCUGUUCUACCAUGGACAGCAAGGUGAGCAAUUAGGCCCAGGAAUCAGAAAACAAUCUAUUUUAAAGAAAAACAAAUCACUGUGCCUACAGCAGCCUGUCCAAACACAGUAAUCACAAUAACCAUGGCAUCCCUGAAAGCCAGUGGCAUUUCUGAAACUCAUUCCAGCAAACACAAUAAACAAUUUGGAGUUGAACCAGGCUAAUUCCAUCUCUGUCUGCCAAGGGUUUGGCUAAAGCACCUCCACUGUCUCAUAUUUGAUUCUCUGAGGGAUUAGGCACAAUGAGAGCAGCAAUUAAUGUCACACUUUUGCCCCUUCCUGGCACCUUCCCCUAGAUUGUAUUGGGUUUCCCAGAUAUGACACUAUGCUGAGCAAGGCUGGCAGUUAAGUGUGGCAUCCAUAUGUCCUGUCCAUAUGUCCUAUGUAUAGCCAGCUCUUAAGUGAUGAUGAUAAUGAUGGUGAUGGUGGUGGCGCCAUCAGGGACUCCCAAAUUGGGCUACAUUAUCUACUUACCAGAGCAAGCUCAUCCUCCAAUGAAAUAACAUCCUCCUAAGGCCACAAAUGCCAAGCAUCCCCUCAAAUCACACUCUUUCCUGUUCUAUCUUCUUCUCUCAAAAGCCUCAUUACCUGCUCCCUACUGGGCACAAUUGCCUUGGUUAGGAUGUUCCCCUUUAGUUUUGUUUAACUCACACUUACAGGGCACCACUGUGUAGCAGACACUUGGCAAAGUACUGGAGUUUCAGUGAUGAACAACCUUCAAUGAUCAACAACUUUAAUUUACAGAACUCAAGGAGUUCUUAGUCCAGCAAGGGAGAUGGACAUGUAAUAUAUAAUGUAAACACAAUAUGGAAAGUGGUUUUAUUCGGUUUCUUUUAAGGUAAGCUCAGAAUAUUACAGGAGCACAAUAAGAGGGCACAUAACCUAGUGUUGGACAAGGCUUCUUGAAAGCUCUUGGCUCACUUGGCCGAGACCCUCCUUUCCAUCCAGCCCAAAUUAAGGUUGAGUGGAAGACAAAACCUGAGUGUCCCCUGCUGAAGGGAGCCACGAUAGCCCCCCCCCCCCCAUUCUCUCAUGGAAGCUUAAUAAAUCAGCUUGAAUCCCAGUUUCUUAGGGUCUUUAAGGUUCUGGAUUCCUCAGCAAUCUCUUCCUGGAAGGGGUCCAGGACUAAGGGACCAAACCCAACAACCUUCUGACCCAAAAUCUUCUGGGGCUGAACUCUCCACAUGUCCCCUCAACCCACUGCCAGCGGCAUAAAAGGGAGAACAUCACCAGACAAGGAGCAAAUCAGGCUGCCAGUAUUUUUGUGCAAGGAACUGUGAGCAAUUAGAAACAUCCAGUCCUUUCCUCAUGAAGGUUACAGUCCUAUCAAAGCUAGAAGAAACAUGGAGAUCAGCUAGCCCAGUCCACUCACUGUAUAGCUGAGGAAACUGAGCUGCCCAACAUUGCACGAAACCUAGUCCUUGUCCCAUUGAGCUAGAAUGUGUGUUCCACAAAGGCAGGGAAUUUUUUGUCUGUUUUGUCUCUGUCUAGAGCAAUGUGUGACAACUAGACAGCUCUCAGAAAAUAUUUGCUGAUGCUGAUGUUGACACAGAAUUGUAUCACACCGGACAGCAGGAUUGUGGAAAACAUGGGCUUUGGAGUCAGACAAAUCCAACUGUAGUCCUGGCUCAGUUGCUUUUGACCGUGUGACCUUGGCAGGUUAUUUGUGCUCCUCACACCUCACUUUUGUUAUCUAUGAUAUGUGGAUAACAGUGCUACAGAAUGUGGUGAGGUUCCAACAUGGAGAAACACCCAACAUAGCACCUGGAACAUAGGAUGUGCUCAAUAAAUGGUAGUUAUCACUGCUAGUAAUAGUAUUAAGUACCGAGUGACUGACUCAGAGAAGAACUUGGGAGAGAACUGAACAAAAGGGGCAAAGCUAGCCAGACCCCCCAAUCCAAUAUCAACCAUGAAGGCAAACCCACGAGAGAAAAUCUGCCCCUGAAAUAGUUCCUCUAUGCACUCCCCACCCCUUCUCCCUCAUUGACACCUGACACUUUAUCACUGAGCUUCAUCCUUUCCAUUAUAAUUCUGACUCUUUUAACCUAUCACUCCCUGAAUAGAGAAGACCCACUUUAAAUCAGAUGCCCACACUCUAAUUUAAAUGAAUUGUACAAUCUUUCCUUGAGUUCAACUAGCAGUGUUUAAUCAAAUACUGACUGUUUUCCAAUGGCUUUCCCAUAUAAUAGAUCUUGUUUAAUCUGCACAGCAUCCUCAAAACAUAGGCAAAUCAAAGAUAUUUUACACAUGAAGAUAUAGGAUCAGAAAGGCUAAGCGGCACACUUGCAGUGUCACAGCUGGCAAAUGAUAUAACCAAGAUUCCGCCUCAGAUCCUCUGACAUCAAUUCAGUCACCAAAGUCUCACCAAGACCCAGGAACAAUUUCAAUAAUGAGCUAGUAGCAGAAUGACAGAGGCUCAGGCAUCCCCUGCUGAAGGAAGUCACAACAGCCUCCCCCUUCUAUCAUGAAAGCUAAAUAAAUCAGCUUGAAUUUCAGUUUCUCAGGGUCUUUAAUUUUCUGGGUUCCUCUGAGAUCUCAGCCUGGGAGAGCUGAGAUGUCUCAGCUGCUUGCAUCUCAAGCAGCCAGUGCAAUGCCUAGCCCAGCCCACAGCAAAUGCUGGUAGAAUGAAUGGAUGAACAAAUAAACUCUUCCACAUCUGCCUACUUCUGGAAUUGUUACUGACCUAGAUAUUAGACGCUUUGGCCUGGGUGGGGAGGAUAUUAACCCCUAGGAUGAGGGGCUCCAAGGACACACUGCCUGCUUCACAGGGUGCCUCUGGCUGCGUCCAAAGACAAUGCUCUGGGCCAGCUCCUGAGUCUAGAGUGGCCCACAGUUCCAACGCUGUGUUUCAGCAGGGAGACAGACCCACUCUCACACUUGCGAACCCUCCCCCUACCCUUAGGUGAAUGUGGGGGCAGAACUCCUGCACCACAAGUGUUCAUUUUCCAGGAGGACAUGUGGAACUCUCCAAAGGGAAGAAGCAGGACCCGUGCUUUUAACCUAGUGUUUCCUAAACCUCAGUAAUUCACAUACCUCCUUGGUAGUUUUUCCCAUAUUCAUGAACCACUUGUAUGAUUAUUUAUUCAACACUUUUCUCUGGAUGAACUCACAAUUUUUACUUAACCAGAUUUAUUUUUGAAGAUAUACUACCACGGUGUUACCUUCUUUUACCUCAUCCUAAGCAAUGAUACCCAUAAAAUAAAUCUGAAGUGCUUACUGUGUACACAUUAAAAGAAAUAUAUUUUCUAUUUUAAUGUAUAGCUAUCAGAAUAAGGAGGCUUUUUAACUCACUAGCAGAAAGCACACUUCGCUUUACGUAACUCUUCUGCAAUCCAUAUAGGAUCCAGCAGGGAUUAUGUGGAGUAAAAUGUCCUAAUUAAUCACUGAGAGCAAUUAUACACCAUGAAUAAUUUAAUCAUGCAUCAACAUCACAGUCAUGUUGAUAAUGCAAUAAUACCAAUAAUCCAAAAACCUGUGCUGACAUCCACUUUAAAACUUCUAGUAUGCUAUAAUCUCUAUUAUCUCUCCCUUUUGGAGCCAAACAGGCCUUAUAAUUUCUUGGAGUUGCCAGAAUUUGAUCACAGAGCCCAGAGUGGGGUAGGGAGAGAUAUUAUUCUGACUAGACUCAAACCAGCACUGUUACAAAUCUUGAAACAACUCCUCUGUCCUCCCUACCUCCCUUUUCUGUCUCCCUCUUUCUAUUCUCUGCAUCAUUCUUUCUUUCCUUCUUUUUCUUUAAACAAACACUGACUCACUGCCUGGUGUAUCCACGGACUCCAGGUUUACUAAGAGCUGCAAUGCCAUCCCUGCCUUCCAGGAGCAAACAAUCUUGUUGGGGAGGUGAAAAUAGGGCAAAGACUUAAUAUUGUCCCCACCCAGGCCAAAACAUCUAAUACCCAGGUCAGUAACAAUUCUAGAUGUGGGAAGAUGUGAAAGAGUGCAUUCAUUCAUCCAUUCAUUCUACCAGCAUUCAUUGUGGGCUGGGCUAGGCAUUGCACUAGCUGCUUGAAAUGCAAGACAAUGAACAAAACCUAGUAACUCCCCCUCCAAGGAGACCUCAGUCUAGGGAGAAAUGGGGUUACUGAGCUGCAUAAAGCCAAGUGUGCUUUCUGCAAGGUGAAGUGCUCUCAAUCGAACUGGGAUGCUGAGGAAGCUUUCCUGGAAGGGUGAUGUCUGAUAGAGUAUUGAAAGAGAAAUUAGACAAAUUAAGGAAGGGGGCAUUCACAGAUGGAGGGAAAAGCACAGGAAAAAUAUGAAGGCAUGGGAAACAACCUGACUCAAUGGGGGAGAGGGUUUUGUUGAGUUUGGAGGACAAUGCUCCUAUCAGGGAGCAGUCAGAGAUGAACAGGAACUGAACCACAAAAGGCCCUUUGGGCUAAGAAAUCUGGACUUGCUCCUGAUAUGUAGACACUGAGGAUUUUUAGUAGAAAAAUGAAGUAACUGGGACAAAUCCAGUAACAGUUGCUGCAAAUACACAGUAACAAUGCAGUUACCAUAGACACCAAGGCUGGCUGACAAGUGAGAAUCCGAGAGCAAUCCUCAGGCCAGGAAAGAGGGCCAGCAAUCCUGUUCACAUUUCCAGGAGAAAGGAAACUGGUUCUUGAGGAAGAGUAGGGUGUGAGGACAGAGAUUAAAGACAGUGGAGGUCUGAGACACACAGACACACAUAGGAAUAUGUACACACAUCACACACAUACAGUGCACACAUAUUACACAUGUGUAUGUAGACAUUUGUACACAUAUCACACAUAUGUACACACAUAACAUACAGCUAUAUGUGCAUGCCAUACCAAGAGACAUGUGUACGCACAACACAUGCACACACAGAUGUGUACACUCAUCACACACAGGCACAUGUAUGUGCAUCACAUAUACACAGAUUGACAUGUACACAGAUCACACAUAUGACAGACAUAUGUGCACACAUAACAGAUAUAUGUACAUACCACAUACAAAGGCAUGUGUACACACAUAACACAUGCAGACAGACGUGUAUGCUCAUCACACAGGCAUGUACAUGUACAUCACAUAUACACAUAUUGACAUGUACAGAGAUCAUACAUAUGACAGACAUGUACGCACACCACACACAGAAACGUCUACACCCAUACCCAUAGAUAUAUGUACACAUAUAUGCACAGAGAUGUGCACACACUGCACCAUAUGCACACAUUUACACUCAUACACAUGAAAGCAACAUGAAAGUCAAAGUCCGAAUCUGGAAAAACCUCUGUCAACAAUUUUUACUGUUUUCCAAUCCUAUCUCAAAACUCACUCUUUCCAGAAGACUUUUCCAGUUGCUUCUCUUCUCUGCAUCCCCUCAUCCCCCCGGCAAUGGGCUAGCACUUCUCUCAAGCAUUCUAUUACAGAAUGACUUAUUUUCCACAUGCCACCACUAAGCUGUCUGCUUCCCUCUUCCCCUUCCUCAUGCCCUCUCACACACAUACCAAAAGGGGCCACUUCAGACCACACAUGCCCAGGGGAAUCCUGGUUCAGAAGCCUGUGAAGAGAAGAGAGCUUUAAAAAGACAAGAUGGAAACCGCAUUUUGGGGAAAAUCAAUGAUUCUGUGGAUCUAGACAGAGUCUGGGGGAACCAAGGCUUAUACACAAGGAAGUUGGGGGGCCAAGAAGUAAAGGUUUGAGAUAAAAGAGGGUAUUUCACCACACAAACCUUUCUCCUCACCUACUAUGCAGCCAACACUGUGUAUACAAAGAAAGAUAAGGUCCCUUCCAGCAGCCUACCAGGGAGACAACCAAGAUCUGGAGAAAUUCAAGAGAGCGUUCUCAAGGGUACAGUGGACACAGGACAGCUGGAAGGUGUACAUGGUAAGAAUGGGAGUGGGCCACGGAGACCAGCCAUUAAAGCUAGUAGUCAUGGAGUCCAUGGCGUGACAUGGGGGUCCAGGUCUGUGCAUGAUGACACUGCCAUAUGGAGAGUCAGCAGCCAAAAUUGAGAGUUUGUAGAAAGAGGAAGUAUAAAUUAAGAGAAAAAACACAAGAACAAGAUUAAAAUACUCAACAACAUUUGAAAUACUACAACUUACCAGCUGUAUUUGGAUGAUGGAAUUAUAGGUGACUUUUUUUUUUUUGGCUUUGCUUUUCAAAUUUGUAGCAAAUUUUUUUUUCUUUUUUUGGUUUUAAUUUUUGUAGCAGAAUGAUUUACUAAGGAUAAGGGGCCAGCUCCACCACCAGGGGAUUCCCUGCUGCAGGCACACAUGCACACCUGUAGACAUAUGAACACACGUCACACAAAUUAAUCCUUCCUCUGGGAUCUGAAGUGGCAUACACUAAUUGCAGGAGGAUCUAAAGCAACGCAGCCUGCCCACAUGCCUUUCUUAAUCCUGUGCAAUUAUACGCACCCUGGGUGAUGACACUCGCAGAGGUUAUUCUUAAGGCAAGAUUACUUUCCUCACCCUGCCCUCCUGCUGCACCCUCCCUUUUCCUGCAUACUCAGCUCAGGUGGGAAAUGCUCUCUGGGAGAAAAAUUCCCAAAAUUCCAUUGAUUUGAGCCUAAGGCUGGCAUACAGGGAGGUAUGACAUUUUUAUGCUCUUUUCCCAUUGGCCUGUGAUCCUUGUCAACCCACCUAGCUUCUUCCCUGUCACUGCCUCUGACCAUCCUCAUCUCUCCUUCCUCUCUAUCCAGAGAAGAGCCAUGGGAAGGAGGCAUAAAAAAUAUCUACUAAGAUGGGAGUGGAUUACAUUAACUUCAUAGAUGGAGAAACUGAGAUCUGAGGGACAAGACCUUGCCCAAGCUCACAAGGUGUUGGUGGCCAGGCAGGUUUAGAGCAUUGCCCCGCUGACAAGACCCCAAGACCUCAGCAGAGGAAAGACCUUGAUCCCUACCCUUCAGAACAGACCAGAAGCUAACAAACUUCCUAGCUCCCAGCAGUUUGCCAUAGCAAAUUUAUUUAAGAUACUUUCAUAGAAAACAAAAUCAGAUUAUAUUUUCCCUCCUCUAUGAGAUUAAAUUCUCAUCAUCUCUUUGACUGAUCAACAUAUUUACAAAUAUUUACUCUGAGGUCCAGCCCUGAGUUACAUGGGGAUAUGGAGAGUUAGGGAGAUCCAUAUUGCCAGGGAUACUCUUAGCCCAGAAGAGAAGGCCCAAGGAAUCUGUGCCAGAUGUAAAUCAUGGUUCCACAGUCCCACCUCUUGGGAUUCUCUGAGCACAUGGAUGGAACCAGACAAAGAGGUCACUGGAGACCCACCCACCAAGCCAUGAUGUCACUUUUUUAAGCAUUAGGAAAGUUUGCCCCAAGUCAUCCACCUGAUUUCAACAGGUUCAGCUAUUGAAAUAAGGAGUAUAAUUUGAAGAAUGAGCAAAAAUUAAGGAUAACCAGCAAGUCUGAGGAACAGGAUUACUGGCCAAGACAGAGAUUGAAUCCAGAUUGUGGUCUUCAGUUGUAAAUCCUAUUAACAGUCUGGGUAAGACAGAGGUCACACUCAAAGCCCACUGCAGCUGCAGGGAAUUCCUGAAAGUAGUGCUUAAGAAUCAAAAUUGGAUUUAAAACCAAAAGGGAAGGAGCAUUUGCCUUGCUUUGCUUCUCAAUGGUGCCCAGCGAAGAAGUGCAUUGGUGCAGGUUAUCUGAGAUAGCACACGGCUGAAAAGCAUGAGUGAAAGCUUUUAGGCCAAGCAACCUAAAAGGCUACAGGUUUGAAAUGCUUAUGCUUUUUUCUUUCUGCCAUAUUGAUUUCCAGGUUGUCUGACUUGGAAUCAGUUAAAACAACAUGGAUAAUUCAACCAACAGAUAUCAGUGGAUCCAGC